rnacentral:rRNA from 1 species
UUACCGAGUUUACAACUCCCAAACCCCUGUGAACAUACCAAUUGUUGCCUCGGCGGAUCAGCCCGCUCCCGGUAAAACGGGACGGCCCGCCAGAGGACCCCUAAACUCUGUUUCUAUAUGUAACUUCUGAGUAAAACCAUAAAUAAAUCAAAACUUUCAACAACGGAUCUCUUGGUUCUGGCAUCGAUGAAGAACGCAGCAAAAUGCGAUAAGUAAUGUGAAUUGCAGAAUUCAGUGAAUCAUCGAAUCUUUGAACGCACAUUGCGCCCGCCAGUAUUCUGGCGGGCAUGCCUGUUCGAGCGUCAUUUCAACCCUCAAGCCCAGCUUGGUGUUGGGACUCGCGAGUCAAAUCGCGUUCCCCAAAUUGAUUGGCGGUCACGUCGAGCUUCCAUAGCGUAGUAGUAAAACCCUCGUUACUGGUAAUCGUCGCGGCCACGCCGUUAAACCCCAACUUCUGAAUGUUGACCUCGGAUCAGGUAGGAAUACCCGCUGAACUUAAGCAUAUCAUUUAAAGCGGGAGGAAA